rnacentral:misc_RNA from 1 species
CACAGUUUGAUGAUUGUAUUCUUUGUUAUUGAAAGGGUCUCUUUGUUUGUUAUAUCCAUAGACUGUGGUGCUUUACUCAAUUAGAUCUACUGCCACCUGUUGUUUAUAAGUUUCUGGAGCUAGGCUACAUGUACAGUACAUGUUACAUGGUAUCUUGGAAGGCCUGCUAUCACUGUGAUGUCAAAUUCCACUCCAUUACGUUUCAUCACUUACCUGUCGCCAAGCGUUCCAGUGGGACUAUUCGAAGCAGUCGUGCACUAUCUUGAAGAGUCACUAGGACGGGAAAUACAACUCAUAUAUGAGUCAAGAUGGAGUGGACCACCCUCUGACAGGGUCGACCCUUUCACUGCUAAUAAUGCUGAUAUAGGUGUGAUGUGCAGUUCUGUCUUCCUGAAACUUGUCGAGGAGAAGAAAACCUCCAUUGAGUUCCUUGAACUGGGGGCUGUCCAUACACAUCCAAGAAGUGAAGCAAGGCCAAUAUACUUUGGGGACAUUGUUGUACAUAGUGAUAACAAAGAUAAGUUUGAUAACUUUGAAAAGUUGAAAGGCUGCAAAUGGGGGUAUAAUGAUCCUGAAUCCCUCAGUGGAAACAUAAGUGUACUAGCUCAUCUUAAGAAAUGUGGAACAAAUGCCAGCUUCUUUGGACAUAUCAUACAAUCAGGUUCCCAUAUAGAGUCACUGAAAAUGAUACUCCACAAGACUAUAGAUGCCGCUGCUGUAGACUCAAACUCAUUGAUCAACUUUGUGAACAGCUAUCCUGAACAACGAGAAAAUCUACAUGUGAUGACAUCAUUAGGUCCAUUUCCCAUAUACCCCUUUGUGGCCAACUCUAGAUUGCCAGCUGAAACCAAAACCAAAAUAAAAGAAGCUUUGCUCAAUAUGCAUAAAUCGGUGACCUGGGAGGAAAAACUACAGAAAUAUGGCGUGCAAAAGUUUACAAAGACAGACAUGUCUCUAUAUGAUAAAGAGAAAGAGAUUAAAGAAUAUAUGAAAGGAUUAAAGAUUGAAACUGUAUAUUACUGAUAUUUGUGUAGCCCAGCAAUUGUUGUAUACUACAAGAAAACCUGUGUACGUGGAACACCUUUGAUAUCUCUUAUGAUGUUCCUCCACUUGUAGUGGUUCAUUUAACAUUAGCUCAGGAGGUAU